ensembl:lncRNA
GCUUUGGCGGCAGCAGCGGGUACUGGUGAGAGCCGUGGGUGGAGGCGUGGCCCCAGCGGCCAGGAUACUUGGCGGCUAGUGACACAGAACGAGAUUGGAAUAGCCACAGAAAAGUCAUCUCCAGAUAGAGAUAAAAAAAAAAAAGGAGCAGUCAGAUGCCUCUGUUUCUCCUAGAGCAUCAAAACAUCAUUAUUCAAGAUCACGAUCAAAGUCAAGAGAAAGAAAACAAAAAUCAGAUAAUGAAGGAAGAAAACACAGAAGCCGGAGCAGAAGCAAACAGGCAAGAAGACAUGAAUCCAAAGACAAGUUCUCUAAGAAACAUAAAUCCGAGGGCCAUAAUGACAACGAAUAUUCUUCUGAUAAGGGAAGAGAGACUAAAUUCAUCUGAAAAUGGUGAGGACAGACACAAGCGCAAAGAACAGAAGUCAUCAAGAGGCAGAAGCCAUUCAAGAUCUAGAUCUCGUGAAAGGCGUCAUUGUAGUAGAAGCAGAGAACGGAAGAAGUCGAGGUCCAGGAGUAGGGAGAGGAAGUGUCGGAUUUGGUCUCGGUUAAGGUCAAGGUCAAGACAUAGACAUAGAACCAGGAGUAGAAGCCGGGAAAGAAAGAAGAGAAUUGAAAAACCACGAAGAUUUAGCUGAAAUUUAAGUCGGACUCCCAGGCCACCUCCUUUUAGAAGGUAAAACACAGCAAUGGAUGCACAAGAAGCAUUAGCUAGAAGGUUGGAAAGAGCAAAGAAAUUACAAGAACAGAGAGAGAAAGAAAUGGUUGAAAAACAGAAACAACAAGAAAUAGUCAGCAGCUUCUGCUACUGGAGGAUCUGUCCUCAAUGUUGCUGGCCUCUUCUAGCAUCUGGAACACAAGUAACUCCUCAGAUAGCUAUGGCAGCUCAGAUGGCUGCACUACAGGCCAAAGCUUUGGCAGAAAUGGGAAUAGCAGUACCUAGCUAUUAUAAUCCAGCAGCUGUGAAUCCAAUGAAAUUUGCUGAAUGGAAUUUGCUGAAAGAAAAGGAAAAUGCUUUGACAAGGCAAAAAAGAAGGGGAUAAGUCACAGUCUGCUGAAAUUUGGGAAAAAUUGAAUUUUGGGAACAAGGACCAAAAUGUCAAGUUCAGAAAAUUAAUGGGUAUUAAGAGUGAGGAUGAAGCUGGUUGUAGUUCAGUUGAUGAAGAAAGUUAUAAAACUCUGAAGCAACAGGAAGAAGUAUUUAGAAAUCUGGAUGCCCAAUAUGAGAUGGCAAGAUCACAAACCCACACACAAAGAGGAAUGGGAUUGGGCUUCACAUCUUCGAUGUGGGGAAUGGAUGCAGUUUAAAAAUACAUGAUUUUAAAGUUUGGGACUUUGUGCAAUUCUUGUUCUGAUGCCAGGUCCUUGUUCACCAAACAUCCAGCAUUCUAGCUUGAAUCGGUGUUGCAUUGACUUUAAUUUAUUGAAAAAUACAAUUUUUUUUUAAAAUAUCAGAUCAGUAAUACUGGUGUUAGUGUUGUAAUCAGGUUAAGCCCACUUCCAUUAAACUUCACAGAACUAUAGAAGGACAAUAUUUUUUAAUUAACAAGUUCUACUUUUCAAACAAAUGUAAAGCUGCAGGUGGGGUAAAAUCUCAUACAUGGAUAUUUCGUGUCCACUGUCUUGUGUACUUUUGUACUUAACCUUGUACAGUUAUUUUCAUCUCUUGAAACAUGAUAGAAAUGUUGUGUAGAGUGUUCUUUAGAAGAUCUGGCCAUUAGGCACAUAGUCCAGCACAAAAAGCUGGAUGGUGAUGAUAAUAAAAGAUGUUUUUCCUAAAAAAAAAGAAUAUUC